rnacentral:rRNA from 1 species
ACGAACGCUGGCGGCGUGCUUAACACAUGCAAGUCGCACGGAAAGGCCCUGCUUGCAGGGUACUCGAGUGGCGAACGGGUGAGUAACACGUGGGUGAUCUGCCCUGCACUUCGGGAUAAGCUUGGGAAACUGGGUCUAAUACCGGAUAGGAACCAUCUUUAGUGUGGUGGUUGGAAAGUUUUUUCGGUGUAGGAUGAGCUCGCGGCCUAUCAGCUUGUUGGUGGGGUAAUGGCCUACCAAGGCGGCGACGGGUAGCCGGCCUGAGAGGGUGUACGGCCACAUUGGGACUGAGAUACGGCCCAGACUCCUACGGGAGGCAGCAGUGGGGAAUAUUGCACAAUGGGCGCAAGCCUGAUGCAGCGACGCCGCGUGGGGGAUGAAGGCCUUCGGGUUGUAAACUCCUUUCGCUAGGGACGAAGCUUUGUUGUGACGGUACCUAGAUAAGAAGCACCGGCUAACUACGUG